GCCUUGACUUAAUGUGAUUGGGUUUGUACCAUCUAUUUAUUAGUUGGGUUAUCUAAUUUAUGUGGAAGAGUUCCAUAUGAAUCCACCAUCUCCAUAUCAAAACCACACGAGAAAAGUAAAUGUGGCAUCAUUUAUUUGGGCAUUUAAGAGAGGAGUCCUUCUCUUCCACUCUUAAUUUUCUUACAUGAUUCUAUGCAUUUUUCUUAAUUCCUCAUGACAUAUGAUGGUGCUUGGGAUAUGGCACAUGGAAGAGGAGGAAGAGUCUUUCUCUUGAAAGAAAUUUGAGCAUCAAAUAAUAAAUGGGACAUUAUAUAUUUGCA
rnacentral:lncRNA from 1 species